GCCCCAGGAUAUUUACGUCAGGACAGGUAACAUAUGCAUCCGUAAGUAAGUAUAUUUUUUUUUUAUUUAUUAAUAGUUGUCUGAUAGAUAUUAAAAUAAUUUGAAUAUGUAUUACAGAUAGACGGCAGCCCAGAGAGAAGAAAAAAGAAGUCCUAGACAUGGAGAUGAUAUAAUUGUUGAUGCCUAGAUGAUGAUGCCUGAGAAGUUUUAGUGGUACAGCUUGAAGAUGGUUCCAUUGUACAUAGAAGAUGAAGAUGAGUUAGGAUAAACCUUGUUAGGCCUGAGAAGUUUUAGUGGUACAGCUUGAAGAUGGUUCCAUUGUACAUAGAAGAUGAAGAUGAGUUAGGAUAAACCUUGUUAGGUUAUUACAGUGACUGUUUUCAUGGAUGGGGAGUAAAACUUUGUGGUCUAAUACUCAUAAAUUAAUGAAGAUUUUGGAUCCUUUUGGCUUGAAAAAUUGUCAGGAACAUGAAGAAACUGAAUCUGUAAUAAACAUGGGUACACAAACAGACAAAAUAACAACAACACUGGUUGAUACAAUUCUUGGAACCAGUGAAGAAGUUAAAAGUUUUACAAUAUACUGAAGACUUGCAACGGAAAAUCCAGGAAACAGGUUUUUUACUGAACAGUUUGAGAGAGCCAAGAUGAUUGUUGGAUUUAAAAUGCUUGGAAAAUACAACCAAAUGAAGACAAAAAAUGCACUGCAUCAACAAACAAAACAACUACUGGAACAUUGGGGCAUCAGUACUGAGUUCUGAUUCUAAAAACAAUUGUUCAAAAUCUUCUACAAGUUUAAGAAGACUGUACAUACAUGUAUAUAUAUAUAUAUAUUUAUAUAAGAAAGAAAAAAAAUAAUGCAUGUGCUUGAAACUUGUGUACAUACAUCAUGUAAUGAAUAGAAAAAUGAAAGAAAACAAAAUGAAAACAAAAUGAAAAGAAAAAAAAAAAAAAAAAAAAGAAAGAAA